UGGCCUACGGGGGGCAGCAGUGGGGAAUAUUGCACAAUGGGGGAAACCCUGAUGCAGCGACGCCGCGUGAGCGAAGAAGUAUUUCGGUAUGUAAAGCUCUAUCAGCAGGGAAGAAAAAUGACGGUACCUGAGUAAGAAGCACCGGCUAAAUACGUGCCAGCAGCCGCGGUAAUACGUAUGGUGCAAGCGUUAUCCGGAUUUACUGGGUGUAAAGGGAGCGUAGACGGCAUGGCAAGUCUGAUGUGAAAACCCGGGGCUCAACCCCGGGACUGCAUUGGAAACUGUCAGGCUAGAGUGUCGGAGAG
rnacentral:rRNA from 1 species